UAUAAUCUUAGUAUGUAAAGAGCAGUUGUCAAUUUUAAGUUCUAUAGAGCAUAGUUAAUGAUUACGUGUUAUUUACUUCAAAAGAAUAACUUGUGAAGAACAUGUUUCUUAAUGAACAAGAAAUACUUCAAAUAGGAGCUAUGUCCUUCUAGGGUUUACCAUGAUUCCCAAUUUAGUUCCCUAGAUAGGUAUUAGAAUUUUUAAUACUAGGUUUAGGUACGGUAUUACCCAACGGUAGUAGUUGAGUUCUUAACAUAUACUACUUUAGGAUUAAGGUUCCGAAGUGUAUCAUAUAAGUAUUUGAAGUGGCUCUAAGGGUUUAAAGUAAAGGCUUAAUUAUAAGGGAAAUACAUGGUUUAAGAGUUAAUUGAGAGUAAUAGGUGACUCUAGGUAUAGUUAACCUUUAGUAAUGUCAAACUCUAGGGUUUUAUCUAUUAUGGUUAAGGAAUUUAUUUUUAUAAGAUUUUAAGCACCUCCUAAGAGGUACUAAAUGGUUUUGGAUUUAAUUAAUUGAUUUAAGUUAAAAAAUCUUCAUUAAAAAUACAAGCAUGUGAUAGAAUAUUAUUUAGAAUUAGUUAAUUUUUCUUUACUUGAUAUGUUUUGUUUAAAGAAAAACUAAGGUUUAUUUAGUUUAUCAUGUUCAAAUCAUAAUGAUAAUUUUUUUAUUAGAUUAUUAAGGUUGAAAUAAUAUUUCAAGCAUUUAGAGAUUCUAUUUGAGAUUUGUAGGUAUUACUAAUUAUUUUUGUAGGACUUUAAAGUAAUCUUAUAUCUUUACAUCAUAUUCAAACACUUAUACAAGGUUAGUGAAUAAUUUUUAUUUAAUGAGUAUAUAUUAAACAGAUGCAACUGUGUAUAUGUAUUAAAACUAAACACAAGCAUUCAAUAGUGUUACACGCAUGUACACAUAUUAGUAGGUUAGUUAUAAUUUGGAUGGAGCUAAUGGGUUAGUUGAUCGAUAGAUUUAAUUGGGCGAUUAUCACACAGCGAUUUACUAGUAGUACUAGUCUAACGGACUAGGGUCAAACCCAAACGCACUCACGAAGCCAACACACGCACGCUAGGCUGGACCAGCACCGCACGCACGCGCACGGCCUCGCGCGAUCCCCUUCCUCGUGACGUGCCUGUGCCGUCGUCUGUCGUCGCCCCGGUCGCUGCCGGCCGUCGCCGAACCCGUCCUCCGCCGCUGACCGUCGACUCUGCUCCGCCAUGGUAUCUCUCCUCCUUCCUCUUCGGAGUAGCCUUCUUUCUUACUCGUGCCCACGGCUAACCCUAGUCCGCGGGUUGGCAAGGUCAACGUUGUGUCGCUACUCGCCUCCGGCCGCCUCCGACGCCGGCGAGGCAUUUUUCUGGCUCCCCUCGACGUGAUCUACCACCUCCCCCUCUUCGAUUUGAUUCCCCAGCUCCACUGGUGCGCCCCACGCCUGCGCAUAGCCGACGCACGCGCUGCUGUACGGCUCUGCCGGUCACAUCCACUGCCGCCGUCGGAUGGCCCAGUACUUCCAUGAACUCCUCCGCCAACACCCGCCGUCACGACGCCGUCCUGCGCUCACACACGGCCCUGUGGCUAACCCUAGCUUGCUUCGGCUAGGUCGCCGACACGGCGCUCGCGCUCCCGCGCCUCCGGCUAUCUCUCCUUGGCGAACUGGACCUCCUCUUUGAGCGCCCCGAUCGAGCCCCAGCUCGGCUCUGCCAUGCCCGGCUGCUCUGGUUCCUCAAAUGGUGGUGUCCUAGUGGUGUGCUGUUGGGGAUGGUGUUGUGGUGAAGGUGGUUGGUGGCGUAUUGGUGAUGGCGUGCUUGUGGUCAUGCUGUGAUCCGGCUGUGAAAUGUUGUGCUCGACACCGAUGGACGGCGCUGCAAACGCAACCUCGGUGUCGACUACCACUUCUCCGCGACAACACUAUAAAGGAUAAGAAAAUUGGGAAGAUUUGGAUUAUGAAGAUUUAGUUUAGAAAUCUCUUGUAUUCUUUUAUAAUUUUCUAUUUCUUUUCUAACUUGUAAUUUAUUGAAUAAUGUUAUUUGUAAUAAAGUUUGAAUUAUUUAUUCAUUUGGAA